UAGAGUUUGAUCCUGGCUCAGGAUGAACGCUGGCGGCGUGCCUAAUACAUGCAAGUCGAGCGAUGAGGCUCCUUCGGGAGUACAUCAGCGGCGAACGGGUGAGUAACACGUGGGUGACUUGCCCCGAAGAUGGGGAUAACCUCUGGAAACGGGGGCUAAUACCCAAUGUGCUCGGUGAUUCGGUUCAUCGAGUAAAGCUCCGGCGCUUCGGGAGAGGCCUGCGGCCCAUCAGCUAGUUGGUAGGGUAACGGCCUACCAAGGCAGAGACGGGUAGGGGGCGUGAGAGCGCGGACCCCCACACUGGCACUGAGAUACGGGCCAGACUCCUACGGGAGGCAGCAGUAAGGGAUAUUGCGCAAUGGACGAAAGUCAGACGCAGCGACGCCGCGUGGGCGAUGAAGGCCUUCGGGUUGUAAAGCCCUUUUAUGGGGGAAGAGAAAAAGGACGGUACCCCAGGAAUAAGUCCCGGCUAACUACGUGCCAGCAGCCGCGGUGAAACGUAGGGGACAAGCGUUAUCCGGAUUCACUGGGCGUAAAGAGCGUUGAGGCGGUUCCGUAAGUUGGGCGUGAAAGCUCCGGGCUUAACUCGGAGAUGUCGUUCAAUACUGCGGGGCUUGAAGACAGCAGAGGAAGGUGGAAUUCCCGGUGUAGUGGUGAAAUGCGUAGAUAUCGGGAGGAACACCCGUGCGAAGCGGGCUUCUGGGCUGUUCCUGACGCUGAAGGCGAAAGCUAGGG
rnacentral:rRNA from 1 species